UACGGAGGGUGCGAGCGUUAAUCGGAAUUACUGGGCGUAAAGCGUGCGCAGGCGGCCCGUUAAGACAGGUGUGAAAUCCCUGGGCUCAACCUAGGAAUUGCGCUUGUGACUGGCGGGCUCGAGUACGGUAGAGGGGGGUGGAAUUCCUGGUGUAGCAGUGAAAUGCGUAGAGAUCAGGAGGAACACCGAUGGCGAAGGCAGCCCCCUGGGCCUGUACUGACGCUCAUGCACGAAAGCGUGGGGAGCAAACAGG
rnacentral:rRNA from 1 species